GAAUGCGGAGGUCAAAGUCCGUCUAAAUGGCGUGGCUCGACGGCCGCUUCCUAACUUUGGGUAAUGGCCCUCUUCCUUCACGGGUUGGGGUGUCUGUUCCCAAUCAUUUACUUUGAAAAAAUUAGAGUGUUCAAAGCAGGCGUAACCUGGCCAUUGAAUAUUUAUAGCAUGGGAUAAUAGAAUAUGACAUCGGUCUUAUUUUGUUGGUUUCUAAGGCUGACGUA
rnacentral:rRNA from 1 species